rnacentral:lncRNA from 1 species
AUUCAUUUUUCUCUGCCAACUAUUCCUAUAAUUUUUCAGCUUAUUGAAUAAUUAUUUCUUAGUCUUGACUUCCUUUCCCUAUUUUUUGUUCCUUUUUAUUCUCAGGAAAACAUACACAUUAUCGUAGAUUCCUCUGCCAUGUAUAGACUAAGACAGCCCAACACGAGGUUAAAGAGUUAACUUUUGAUUUUUAUUUAUGAAUAUAGUGAUAUUUUUGGUAAAAAGGUAUUAAGAUUAAUGAUUUAAGGCAUUUGUUUGUAAAGUAUAGGUUUGUGAAUUCAAAGGGGGUGGAACUAUAUGAAUUAAAGAUUGCCUUAGAAAGAUAGAGAAUAUGCAGAGCUUUAAGAGGUACAACUCUUAAUUGCCUUGAACUCUAUAUUUAUUGUUAAUAUUCUGGAUUAGUAGCUCCAUCAAUAUAAUGGCUGAAAUGUUUUAUUAUUCUAGUAGAAUAAUUUGGAAUGAGUUGACACUAAUUGCAUUAUACAGAAAGUGUGUAAUUAUCAAGAGUUAAAUGCUUUACUCUCACACUUAGGCUUGAUGGCUAAAAGACAUAAUUGCAAGCCUUUUUUUGAAAAAAUAUACUAUGUUGUAUUAGAUAUUAAAUUUUAUUAUGAAUUUUUUAGUUGGAAAAUCAUUGUUUUUUAUAUAAUGAGAAAUAAACACACUUUCUUGAAACUAGAUGUUAUACUGAAAACUUGAAUGCUAUAAUUUGCUCUCUCACUCUCUCUUAUUCAUAUAUAUAAGAGAAUGAAUUCAUCAUCACCUUUUUUUUUUUAAUUUAUAUCUAUAGUUAAAUAUAUUCUACCUUAUUUCUAAUCAAAUGAGCUACAACAUUCUUGUUCUCUAAUUUUCGUUUAAGAUAAUUGAGUUGAUCUAUUCAUAACUUAUGAAUAUUUUUACUUUCGAGCAAAAUAUGUUUAUUUCUAUUAACUUUUGUCUAUGUAUUGCUUGUUAAUUUAUUUUGCAACUGUUGGAAUUGGGCAACCAAUUUCUUUUCCUUUUUCUUUUAUUUGUUUGCAGAUUUGAUUAAUAUGUUUAAAGUGUUUCUUCUUCAACUUAUAUCCCUAACCCAUCAAAUUCAUCAAAUGAAGAAGCUGUCCGUGAAUGAAGAAGCUGUCUGUGAUAAUGCAUGAUCGCAGUACUUAUGUUCAUGGAGUGAAAAAUAAUAAUCCUUCUAAAUUUAGCUUUUAGAUUUGGUAAAUUUAGCCCUUAAAUUCAGCUACGAGUAGAAGGAAUUUGAUUGGAUAAUAGCAGUUAAGAUUAUUCAAUUAUAAGAAUAAGAUGUCUUGUAAUAAGACGUCUU